CUUCGGUUGUGUGACAUUCAGUUUUAUUAUUGUGUAAAUAGGUGUUUCUACGGACGCGUGCCGUACCAGGCACCGCCGUCCCUGCGACCCUCCUGUCUCGAUAAAUAUGAUAAAAUUGAUACGCAAUCGCUCGCCCGAAUAUGCCAGACUGAGGGGGACCAUUCCCGACUCUCCCGCCCUCCAUAAAAAGCCCAGUCUAAUAAUACUACACUACACCCGUUUCCUAGGCUACGGACUGACCGGACGGAUCCCGUCCCGUCCCUAGUCGCCGGUCUACCAAAGUUGCAAAAAAAAUGGAAAUGUCAAAAAGAGGGCGCUUGUGUAUAUCGAUUCAAAUUAUCGAUAACGUUGGUG